rnacentral:rRNA from 1 species
GGGUUUAGAACGUCGUGAGACAGUUCGGUCCCUAUCUGCCGUGGGCGCUGGAGAACUGAGGGGGGCUGCUCCUAGUACGAGAGGACCGGAGUGGACGCAUCACUGGUGUUCGGGUUGUCAUGCCAAUGGCACUGCCCGGUAGCUAAAUGCGGAAGAGAUAAGUGCUGAAAGCAUCUAAGCACGAAACUUGCCCCGAGAUGAGUUCUCCCUGAGACUUARAGUCUCCUGAAGGAACGUUGAAGACGACGACGUUGAUAGGCCGGGUGUGUAAGCGCAGCGAUGCGUUGAGCUAACCGGUACUAAUGAACCGUGAGGCUUAACCUU